rnacentral:rRNA from 1 species
UUUAAUUCGAAGCAACGCGAAGAACCUUACCAAAUCUUGACAUCCUUUGACCCUUCUAGAGAUAGAAGUUUCCCCUUCGGGGGACAAAGUGACAGGUGGUGCAUGGUUGUCGUCAGCUCGUGUCGUGAGAUGUUGGGUUAAGUCCCGCAACGAGCGCAACCCUUGAUCUUAGUUGCCAGCAUUAAGUUGGGCACUCUAAGGUGACUGCCGGUGACAAACCGGAGGAAGGUGGGGAUGACGUCAAAUCAUCAUGCCCCUUAUGACCUGGGCUACACACGUGCUACAAUGGAUGGUACAAAGGGCAGCAAAACCGCGAGGUCGAGCAAAUCCCAUAAAACCAUUCUCAGUUCGGAUUGUAGGCUGCAACUCGCCUACAUGAAGCUGGAAUCGCUAGUAAUCGCGGAUCAGCAUGCCG